UGUAAGCGUAUACCAAAGUUGUUGCAGUUAAAACGCACGUAGUCGGAAUUUGGCAGUUCCGGAUGUGUGCACGUCGUGUGCGCACUUCGCGGGGAUUGCUUUUGUGGUCUUGCGUAGGAUGAGGCACUUUUAUUAGUGAACGUCCUCACGCAACCACUUUUUACUGUGAGAAAAUCAGAGUGCUCAAAGCAGGCAUUUGCCGUGAAUGUAUUAGCAUGGAAUAAUAGAAUAGGACUUGGUUCUAUUUUGUUGGUUUGUUGGGACUGAGUAAUGAUUAAGAGGGACAGUUGGGGGCAUUUGUAUUUCGGUGCUAGAGGUGAAAUUCUUAGAUUACCGAAAGACAAACUGCUGCGAAAGCGUCUGCCAAGGAUGUUUUCAUUGA
rnacentral:rRNA from 1 species